rnacentral:lncRNA from 1 species
CCUACACAUGCAGACUGUGCAAGUGUGGAAGUACAAACUGUGAUUUGAAAUAAAGGCGGGUGGGUGGGGAGGGAGGGAGAGAUAGAGGAGGAAGGGGAGAGGAUAGAGGGAUGAGUAUGAGGAGGAAGCUGGGACCCACUUCUCGCCCUGCAAUUUAAUCACUGUACACCCAGGAAAGUAUUGACAGUUGUCCUGUGGAAGCUAUUAAAGUUGCUGUCCAAGGUUAAAUGAAAUUGCAGUUUAUCAAGGCAGCGUUGAGAAAAUAAGGGAAUCUGUUCAUGGCUGUUGAUUAAUGUGGAGCCUGAUCAACACAAGGGGUUCAUUAAACUAUACAUCACCGGGGUAAUUUAACAUGUCAUCACGCCUGCUGCGGUCUCUUCCCGCAACACGUUUUGCGCGUGUGUGUGGUGUGUGUGUGUGUCUGAGGUGCUCCCCAUGGUCGUUUGCAACAGUUGACACAUGCAGCCACAGUCUCAGAGGGUAUGGACGAGGAUGCGGCCCGUCGCCCCCCCUUUGUGACAGUCUGUAUAAUCUCCAAACCAACCUAACCCCCAGUUAUCAAUGUUGACAACUACUGGGAUAAAGACUAGCGUGACGGCAGCAUUACAGAAUAACAUAUCAGAAACUUUAUUUAUACUGAAUAUGGCAGUAGUACACAUGACUUAGUGCAGUAAUACAUAUGACUUAGUGCAGUAAUACACAUGAUUUGGGCAGUAAUACAACAUGACUUAGUGCAGUAAUACACGACUUAGUGCAAUAAUAUAUAUAUGACUUAGUGUAGUAAUACACAUGACUUAGUUCAGUAAUAAUCAUGACUUAGUGCAGUAAUACACAUGACUUAGUGCAGUAAUACACAUGACUUAGUGCGGUAAUACGUAUGACUUAGUGAAGUAAUACACAUGCCUUAGUGAAGCAAUACACAUGACUUAGUGCAGUAAUACACAUGACUUUGUGCAGUAGUACACAUGACUUGGUGCAGUAAUACACAUGACUUAGUGCAGUAAUACACAUAGCUUAGUGCAGAAAUACACAUGACUUAGUGCAGUGCAUAUCAGUAUAGAAGACAGAGAUAGUAUUAUAGUCAUAAGUCACCACACCAUCAUUAAGUUUGCUGAUGA